rnacentral:rRNA from 1 species
UUUAGUCAGGCAACGAGCGAGAUCCCUGCUUCUAGUUGCUACCAUUGCUCUCAGGAGUAGUGGGGCCAAUUAGAGGGACUGCCGUCGCUGAGACGGAGGAAGGAGGGGGCUACGGCAGGUCAGUAUGCCCCGAAACCCUCGGGCCACACGCGGGCUGCAAUGGUAAGGACAAUAAGUUCCUAGUCCGAAAGGAGGAGGUAAUCUCCAAACCUUACCUCAGUUAUGAUUGAGGGCUGAAACUCGCCCUCAUGAAUAUGGAAUCCCUAGUAAUCGCGUGUCACUAUCGCGCGGUGAAUACGUCCCUGCUCCUUGCACA